rnacentral:rRNA from 1 species
UACGAAGGGGGCUAGCGUUGCUCGGAAUCACUGGGCGUAAAGCGCACGUAGGCGGCUUUCUAAGUCAGGGGUGAAAUCCUGGAGCUCAACUCCAGAACUGCCUUUGAUACUGGAAAGCUUGAGUUCGGGAGAGGUGAGUGGAACUGCGAGUGUAGAGGUGAAAUUCGUAGAUAUUCGCAAGAACACCAGUGGCGAAGGCGGCUCACUGGCCCGAUACUGACGCUGAGGCGCGAAAGCGUGGGGAGCAAACAGG